rnacentral:tRNA from 1 species
UCUCUAGUAGCUCAGUGGUACGAGCAGAUGGCUGUUAACUAUUUGGUCGUUGGUUCGAAUCCAACCUAGGGAG